GGUGCUGUGGUGUAGUCGGUUAUCACGUCAGUCUUACACACUGAAGGUCCCCAGUUCGAACCUGGGCAGUACCA
rfam:Picea glauca, whole genome shotgun sequence.